ACCGGUUCUGUCCACCAGGGUCGUGUGGAUUAGUGCACAGAGUCUCUGAUCACCACCACCACCAUCACCAUCAUCAUCAUCAUCAUCAUCACACACUCACGGUGCCAUUAAACCCACCUGCUGUGGAUCCUCCUCAGGAUGCUUCAUGAUUGGCCCCGCCUCCUUCUUCUCCUGUUCUGUGUCUGAAUGGAAAAGAAUGAAAAGCAAGUGAUCCCAGCUGAAGAUGCUGAAAGUCUCACUGAUUCUAUUAAUACAGAACCACAACCCGGAGAAAAGAGAUGAGAGGGCGAGAGAGCGUCUACAAAUUACAGCCUCAAACCUGAAAUGAAAAGGCAAAGGAGCCUCUCCAAAUGACAAAAAAACAAACCUGUAUUUAAGUUCUAGUAAGAAGACAUCUACAGGGAAAAGAUCUACAAACCAAAUCUGAAAGGAAAAAUACGAGAGAGUCAACAAAUUACAACCUCACGUCGUCAAACAUCUUGAAAAACUCGUACAACAGCAAUUAGCCUGCUCGAGUUAAAACACCUAAAAUCAAUAAACCACACAGUUUAACUGUAAACGGGACGUGAAGCAACAAGGGAAUGUUUAAAAAGUGUAACUGUAAUUGAUUACAGAUAAAAACCUGAAACAGCAGAAAGAUUACGGCUGCAAAGUGAAGAAAAACAGCAAGGGAGCGUCAAUAAAUUAUUAAAUGUAAAAGCCCAAAACAGAGCAUCAAGUGGAAGCUCAGUGAUUAAGGGAUUGGACUGUGGAUCGGAAGCUCCACAAAGCUGCCAGUGUUGGGCCCUUGAGCAACGCCCUCGUAAUUCAUUUAGGGAAAUGAAGUCGCAAAGAAGUUUCAGGAAACUGAACGCAAACCACACAGAAAGCGUUUGCAAAUUCUAACCACGAACUAAAAGGAAGUGUCAGCGUUAACGUCCACGAAGUGCAACUGCUAAUGAACAAACACAAAGUGGACGGAAAAACAUCCACAGAAUAAAGACGAGACGGAGAGCGAUCGCCUGCAAACCCGUGACGAGAGAUGUUAGGAAAAAGAUUUCUUAUAGCAUUUUAUUUUCCAACUUUCAGAAAAGACUUUUUUUAAACAUUAUUUCACUCUUCAGGAUCACAGGAAGAAGUCAUUUGAAGACAUCACACCCACAGAUGAACCACAAAGCAACCCGUCAGCAGACCCACAACGGCUUCUCUCUCAUCACGACACCUACGACCCUCUGCUCCAGCUUUCUAUAGUUCUUUUGAUCUUUGAAGAAUCCGUUCUUACGGCACAUUAACCGCAUCCUCGUACUGAUCAUCCUGCGACGGUCAUCAUGAACCCCAGCCGGAUGCGAGGUCUGGACUGCAGAGUGAACCUGAUGGUCCAGUACGCCAGGCAGCUGACUCGCAGCCUCCUCCUGCUCGCCCACUACAUGGCAGUGUUUGUGAGUUUCACGUCUCGCUCCGCAGGUUGGUUUAUGGAGGCCAUCAGAUGGACGACGUUCUCCGUGAGAUGUGUAGCGUCUCUGUUCGACUCCGUACACAGGAGCCUGAGCAGGCUGAGCCGGAGAUGCACCGGGAUCGCCGUGGAGAUCCGGUCAGGGAAAGAGUCGGACUCGGAGUGAGGUCUGGACAUAAAACGUUUUUUUUAUAAAGACGUUGAACAUCUUACAAACAUUUUAAUCCAAAUUUUUCUUCAGGACUGAAAUUUCUCAUUUGGGAAAGUUGUUCUUGUAUGUAACCAUUUGUACUUAUUUUUUGUAAUCAUUCCCUUUUAUGUAGACUGAAAUACAUAACCAUUAUAUAUUAUGAUCAUAAAACUUUAUUUUUAUUUUAUUCCUUUUUUUUAGUAGAAUUUAAUUUAUUAUUAUUAUUAAUUCCUAUUAUCUUUAUUUUCCGAUCAAUACGAGUGUAAAAGAGCAUACAAAAUGUCCAAAAAUGAUUGAAAUGUCAAAUAUUAAUAAAUAUGAAUCUGUAUUAUGCUUUAAUGUGGCCACUUUUAAACAUCUGUAUAAUAAAUAAUUAAAGGAAUAUAUCAUAUAUAUGUAAAUAUAUUUUGUAUGUAUUGUAUUUGACAUGUGGAGGUUGUAGCUUAGCGGUUAAGACAUUUGAGUUUGGAUCCGAAGGUCAUGAGUUCAAAUCCCGGCCACUCCUGGCGGCCACUCCUG